GUUUUACAAAAAUAAAGGAGAAAAAGAAUCUCGUGGAAUAAAAGCCUUGAAGUUACUCCAUUGACUGUUAACUGUCUGUCUAACAAGAUAAGCAUCCGG